CACGAUUUCGGUUAACACCGUUUUCACCCUUUGUUUAUACGUACCACAUGUUUCCUCGGGGGGCUUGCCCCCCGUUAGGACACCCCAUAAACCUUUUUGUAAUAGCAGUUAGCGUCUGAAAACUAAGUUAAUUAUUA
rnacentral:misc_RNA from 3 species